AGGUGACUAUAGCAUCAGGGUUCCACCUCUUCCCAUUCCGAACAGAGAAGUUAAGCCUGAUCACGCCGAUGGUACUGCGUAACAGUGGGAGAGUAGGUAGUCGCCAUUUU
rnacentral:rRNA from 3 species